CACAAAUUGAACCCCUAACCUCACAUGCGCACUGCCUCCAUCACACCCUCCAUCUCUCUUGCUAAAACUCAUCCAUUCUCUUUCUUUGGCCCAAUAAAGGAAAUAAUUUCUCACUUUUACAUACCUAUUUUUUUGAACUAUAGCCACAAUAGCUUGGAGGCGUCAAAUGCUAUAUUUCGGGCACUGCGAAUUCCAAGCUUUCUGCUAUUCUGGUCUUUGAUGAUCUGGAUAUGAAGCUCCUAACUUGAGGCCAGGACCGAUACUAAAGGCACAGCUUGUAUCAAAGAUUGCUGAGAAGAAAAUUAAAGAGGCUGAUGCGGGUAAUUUUACUAAUUACUUAGUUUGUGGUUUUUUAUUUUUUUUAUUAUUAUUAUUAUUUUGUAUUGGAUUUUUAGGUGUUUUGGAAUUUUGGAUCUGGAUUUUGUACGAAUAUUGUUACAUUUUGGAGUUCAAUUAAUAAUGAUUAUUGAAGUUAUUUGA